GACAGAGGGUGCAAACGUUGUUCGGAAUUACUGGGCGUAAAGCGCGUGUAGGCAGUUUUGCAUGUCGGGUGUGAAAGCCCUGGGCUCAACCCAGGAAGUGCACUCGAAACUGCAAGACUGGAGUCCUGGAGAGGAAGGCGGAAUUCUCGGUGUAGAGGUGAAAUUCGUAGAUAUCGAGAGGAACACCGGUGGCGAAGGCGGCCUUCUGGACAGUGACUGACGCUGAGACGCGAAAGCGUGGGGAGCAAACAGG
rnacentral:rRNA from 1 species